GUUUCAUCCUAGUGGGUACAAUAUAGCAUUCUAAAUCAAUUUAUAUAUACUUAUAAAUUAUGAAUUUUAAUUUGAAAUCUUUGGGUUAAUCUUGAUCUCUUUAGAUUACACAUUUUUUUUCUUGCAACGACCAAGAUUGCAUUUCCUGCGCGUAUUUAUUCACAUAGAGGAAACGAAAGUAUGUACAGAAAUUAUGUUGGUUUUCUGUUGCUUUGCAAAUACCAUAAAAUUCAUGAUGUAUUAUAGUGUAGGUACACCAGAAGUCUAGCUGACUUUCCUCCUCAUAAGGCUGAAAUCAAGGUGUCAGUCUCUUAGAAUCUUAUCUGAAGGCUUUGGGUAAAUAUUGUUUUCUAGGACCAUUCAAAUAAUUAACACUAUUUAGUUCCUUGUGGUUGUCGUACUAUGGGUUCUGAUUUCUUGUUGACCAUCAACAGAGAGCUAUUCACAUUUCCAUCUAUCUCCUCCACCUUCAAGGGCAGCUAUAUCCUGAUUAAUACUUCAAUGCUACCCACAUUUGAAGGAGAGGAUAUUAUAAGAGGAUGAAAAUCACUGGAGUCCGUUCUUAGAAUUUUGCCUACUACAGAUAGGUAGAGGUGUAUUUAUGAUUCUGGAAUUUCCCCAAGAUGGUUAUUGGUAAGGGACCUAACAUAGGACCUAGCUUUAUUUGAUUAUUUAAUAGUGGCAUACUUCUAAAUUAAUUAGUGACAUGCAUUUUCUAUGGCUCUUUUAAAAUCUGUUAUCCUCUUUAUGUUAAAGAUUGUCUUGAAGGUCACCUUGAAAUUGGUAAACAAAAAUAUUGAUUUUUUUCUACAUUCAUUCGAAGAUUAUUAAAAAUUUUAUGAAGCACGUGAUGGGUAACCUGAUCCUUACUCCAAAGGCCCUUCCCUCCGCUGUGGCUGCAGGGAGGUGGAGUUGCUUACUGAGUCCUGCAUGAGGGUGAAAGCAGCAUGGGCUGAGAUUACGAUAAGUUUCACAAAGAAUGUCCUUCCGAGUAACAGGGCUAAAGGUUCUGUAAUAGUGCUCUUAGCCCACCGAUUCUUGUAUAUUUUUAUGCCUUUCCCAAGUCCUGUUCUACCAGCCAUUUCCCAGUUGGCAAUGCCAGCUCUUGGGAAACAAACAACUGAAAGUCUGGUUGCCAUUUACCUCUGUUUGACUUUGGCUGUGGAAACCUAAAAUAGCCAUUGUAUGCCCAGAAAAGUUGCUUUCCUCAGGUAAAAUGACCACAUGCACAGUAGUCACAGCUCUUAUGUUCUCUCCUUGAAAAGCCACAUUCAUAUUCUAUGCCCUUACGAAAAGCCACCAUGUGUGUUCCUCAGUUCAUCUGUGCUGUAUUUGGCUUUCAUUCAUUGGAGAAAUAAAUUCCAGGCAGGAUCUCCAUCUUUGUUGUGCUUUCUAAUGACUAGAUUACCCUCUGGCUGACACCACCAUUUAAGGGGCCCUUUGACUGAUCCAUUUCCUUUAUACUGGUACUUAAUAUGCGUCAAAUUUGUGCCUUUUUUAAAGCUUAUAGUCUUCCAUUCAAUAUCGUUCCAAUGUGUCUUUUAAUGAGUCAGGCUCCUCUGACAUCCCUCCCUAUUCUCACCCCAUAGACCCCAUACAUGUAAAGUUACAUUCAGCAGAGCAAAGUUUCUCAAUACAGUCACAUUCAUACAGUGGCUCAUUCAGAGAGUGCUGGGAAUCGCCUGAUGAAGGACAGGGGGCAGUGAUGUCAUAAUCCCUUCUAUGAUUCUUUUGUGUGGAUUCAACAUCUACACUGAUGCCCCUUGAAAUAGUUUGACCUCUCAGCUCUGUGACCCCAUCUGUUAAUCACUUACCAGAAUGAAGUGCCAGAAGAAUGAAGAGACAUUUUGAGUCUCUUGACUAUUCACUAUAAGUUGAUGUCUAAGAUAAAGAAAUGGAAAUUUCUAUAUCAUUGAAACUUUUUCUAUUUUUUAUUACUUAUGAGUAUGAAUUUUCCUGUCAUACUGUCGAGGUCUUAGGUGUUGUUGUUCCCCUAGAUUCCAUCUGUGACUUUGAACUGUAUUUCAUCUAUGGACUGGGUCAUAUACCUCCAGGAAGUUCAUGUUCGUAAUUACUCGUGUGGUAUCUUUUCCUUCACAUUUUAGAUCCUCCUUCCCACUUACGGUGAGUGUCAGCUCAUCCUAUUUGCCCCCAGAGUCAUGUGUAUUUCCUUCUAUUACAGCAUUCUGCACAUUGAGACAUUUAUUCUUUUCAUUUCAUUAAGUCCGUAGCAUUUUGAAGUUAUACCAUUUUUCACUACGUAUUCCCUAAGAUUUGCCACGUGGAAUGUGGUAAUCAGCCCUUACUUUUUCCUCAUAUAUGGGCGUGUGGAUCCUUGCUGGAUGUUAUGAAUGUUAUUCAGGUCUUUUUCAAAUAACCCUUAUCAUUUUCAUUGGCUUGAGAAAUUAUGCCCUGUUCACAAGUCUACAAUAAAGACUGUCAAGCUUUGAACUUUAAGUUAGUGUGUCAGAAUAUCAUAAAACAGUAAGGUGGGAAGAGAAUUAGUAUUUCCCAGCUCUCAGAAGGCACUUCAUUAGCCCUGUUUUUACCAUAUGCUCAGUACUCAGCGCCUUCGGCAUUGCCAACCAUGUCUGAAGUUUGGGGCAUAAAAACGCAAAAUAAAUAGCAAACAGAAAGACUCCAUAAAACUCAGGGAUCUUUGUCUUCAAUUUAUUUCUGGUGUUUCAUUUUGGUAUAUCAUUUAGUGAUUUUCAUCAAUUUCUGAUUUUUUUCUCUGUAGAUAUUCAGUUACCAUCUCAAAGAGCAUCAUCAGUGGUGGAAGAAUAGUGAUUAUAUUAGGUGACAAAGUAGUGUGGGUGAUUAUUGUGAAUACUGAAGGUGACAUUAUUCAUCUGGAAGAUAAACAGAACAAGUCACACAAAAAAUUGUGUUAUACACUUUUUCCAGCUGUACUGUGAUUGGAGUCGUUCUGUAUAUUGUCAGCACAAGCCCCAUUUAGUGCUCAGAGAGGACAUUUGUAUCAACUAUCACAAUGUGAUGAUUGCUACAGCUUGCCCAGAGCAAAACUUGUGGUAAUAAAACCUUCUAGAUUGGAA
rnacentral:sRNA from 1 species